ACUGCUCAGUAACACGUGGCUAACCUACCCUCAGGACAGGGACAAACCCGGGAAACUGGGGCUAAUACCAGAUAGGCGAGGAUGCCUGGAAUGGUUUCUCACCCAAAAGACUUUGGAAACAUGCUUCCAAGUCGCCUGGGGAUGGGGCCGCGUCCGAUCAGGUUGUUGGUGAGGUAAUGGCUCACCAAGCCUAUAACCGGUACGGGCCGUGAGAGCGGUAGCCCGGAGAUGGGCACUGAGACAAGGGCCCAGGCCCUACGGGGCGCAGCAGUCGCGAAAACUCCGCAAUGCACGAAAGUGUGACGGGGCUACCCCGAGUGCCAUCCGCUGAGGAUGGCUUUUCCUCGGUGUAACUAGCCGGGGGAAUAAGGAGAGGGCAAGACUGGUGUCAGCCGCCGCGGUAAUACCAGCUCUCCGAGUGGUAGGGAUGAUUAUUGGGCUUAAAGCGUCCGUAGCCGGCUUAGUAAGUCUCCUGUUAAAUUCAGCGACCUAAUCGUUGAGCCGCGGGAGAUACUACUAGGCUAGGAGGCGGGAGAGGUCGACGGUACUUUCGGGGUAGGGGUGAAAUCCUAUAAUCCCGGGAGGACCACCAGUGGCGAAGGCUGUCGACUAGAACGCGCUCGACGGUGAGGGACGAAAGCUGGGGGAGCGAACCGGAUUAGAUACCCGGGUAGUCCCAGCUGUAAACGAUGCGGGCUAGGUGUUGGGGUGGCUACGGGCCACUUCAGUGCCGCAGGGAAGCCAUUAAGCCCGCCGCCUGGGGAGUACGGCCGCAAGGCUGAAACUUAAAGGAAUUGGCGGGGGAGCAC
rnacentral:rRNA from 1 species